GGCAAGAUGGCCGAGUGGUCUAAGGCGCUGCGUUUAGGCUUACCUAAGCAUCAUCCGCAGUCUUUCGGGGCGUGAGUUCGAAUCUCACUCUUGUCA